UUCAGAUAUGGCGAUCUGGUCCCACUCAGCCCUCAGGGAAAGAUCGUCGGCUCCAUGUGCGCGCUGAUUGGAGUGCUUACGCUUGCUCUGCCCGUGCCCAUCAUUGUAAGUCUC
rfam:Ancylostoma duodenale strain Zhejiang A_duodenale-1.0_Cont252629.1, whole genome shotgun sequence.